UACGGGGGGGGCAAGCGUUGUUCGGAAUUACUGGGCGUAAAGGGCUCGUAGGCGGCCAACUAAGUCAGACGUGAAAUCCCCAGGCUUAACCUGGGAACUGGAUUUGUGACUGCAUAGCUAGAGUACGGCAGAGGGGGAUGGAAUUCCGCGUGUAGCAGUGAAAUGCGUAGAUAUGCGGAGGAACACCGAUGGCGAAGGCAAUCCCCUGGGCCUGUACUGACGCUCAUGCACGAAAGCGUGGGGAGCAAACAGG
rnacentral:rRNA from 1 species